CAAUAAACAAUGUAUAUUCACUUUUACUACCAACCAAUCUUUACCAUUCAGUGAUAACAAACACUUUAUUUUACAUUUUAAUAUUUUAUGAUGUAUUUAAAAGAGUAGUUAUUGUUGCAAACUCCAUUAGAAAUUUGAAUUGAUAUCAGUUUUGGAAAAAGGGAAACAAGGAUGUGAAAAAAAGGGGGGGGGUUUAAAUUUUUCUCAUUUCAGAUUUCAUAAAUAAAAAGAAAAUUUCUUCAAACAUUUUUUUGAGAGGAUUAAUAUUCAACAGCAUAGUGAAUUUCUCAAAGGCAAAACAAAAGUUUUAAGUUCAUUAGACCACAUUCAUUCUGUGUCAGAAACCUAUGCUGUGUCAACUAUUUAAUUUUAGAUUUAAAAAGUUUGAAGAAGAAAUCUUUAAUUGAUUUGUAAAAUCUUGACAAUUGUUUUGUGUAAAAAAAACUCAUGUAAUGUCAAAAAUUUGAUCACAAUCCAAAUUCAGAGCUGUAUCACGCUUGAAUGUUUUGUCCAUACUUGCCCC
rnacentral:lncRNA from 1 species